rnacentral:lncRNA from 1 species
AGAGCAAUGUUUAUUGUUUAGUUUUAUUUUAAUUAAGAGCAAUGUGUUGUUUUGAUUCUGAAUUUUAAUUGAGAGCAAUGUGUUUUGAGUUUGUAUUAAGAACAAUGUUUUAAGUUUUAAAUUUAGAGAAUUUUAUUUUGGUGGAGAAUUUUACUUUUAAGAUUUUAUUUAUGCUGAAAUUUUAAUUUCUUUUAUGCAAUACAUUAAAUCUUCUUUUAUGAAAUUUAUGUUUGCUUCAAUCCUCUUAGUUUCAUCCUUUUCAAUUCAUGCCAAAAUUUUCCUUUGAAUAGUUAAACAUUUCAUGAAUUUAUAAAUGUUCUUUGAUUUCUAAAUACUUGUUUUUUUUUAUUUUUAAAUAAAGAAAAUUCUCCGGUAGACUAGAGAAUCCAUCAACAUCCUCAUAAUAAUGUUUUUCUUUAAUCAUUCAAAAAUCGAUUUCAAAUCCGAG